AUUGAACGCUGGCGGAAUGCUUUACACAUGCAAGUCGAGCGGCAGCGCGGGGGCAACCCUGGCGGCGAGCGGCGAACGGGUGAGUAAUACAUCGGAACGUGUCCUUAAGUGGGGGAUAGCUCGGCGAAAGCCGGAUUAAUACCGCAUAAGCUCUGAGGAGGAAAGCGGGGGCUCCGUAAGGACCUCGCGCUGUUGGAGCGGCCGAUGUCGGAUUAGCUAGUUGGUGGGGUAAAGCCCACCAAGCGACGAUCCGUAGCUGGUCUGAGAGGAUGAUCAGCCACACUGGAACUGAGACACGGCCCA
rnacentral:rRNA from 1 species